UUCAGUGCGCGCUGCCAGAACUGGACAACCCAUUGUCAAACAAGGUCCGAUCCAUCAUCAGUGGCCUGAUUGAAAAAAGAUCGAACUCAAUGAAGCUCCAAAUCGUGAGGCAGAAGGACAAACCAGAGAUGUUGUUCCGUCAGUUCCUGGUGGAGGAUAAAGGCCUGCACGGCGGAGCUUCCUACAUGGACUUCCUUUGCUACGUUCAUCGAGAAAUCAGGCAGCUGCUCACUUAGCCCCCCCGAACACUCGGCCCCAGUGUAUCUCUUUCCUGACUGGCCUGGGAGAAGCACGCCAUCUAAUGGACCACACAGGGUCAGUCUCAGUUGGCUCCAUUUAAAUCUUAAGGACGGUCCACAGAAAGAAACUGUUUAAGUGUUUUACAAAGACAGAGAAGGAAACCAGGAACCAGGGAGAGCCUUUUGAGAUUUAUUCUUGAGAGUCAAAAGCUGCCUUUCCAACAAGGCUUUUGUCACAUGUUAGUGUACACACAGUAUGAUCUUCAAAUAACCACUUGUCCCUUGAGGAACUUCCAAGAACAACAUGAACAACACAUCCAGCAUUUUCUGCACAGAUACUUUGUGUGAUGGACUGCAGAGACUGGAAUGACAUCAGUGUCUAAGGUUGAAAUGCAUUAUGGUAUAACGCCUAUGAGCAUAAGCAAUAGAUCAUAUAUCUCCACAGUGCAGUCAACUGAGUUUUGCGUUUUAUUUUUUAGGUUUACAGAAUCAAAACAAGGGGUUAUUUGUGGUCAAUACUGUAGAUGUUCACUUUAAAAUUCAGUAAAGUUAGCCAGUCUUUGUUAUACACAACUUUCUCCCAUACAAACUGAAUAUGUAUGGAGUCUCAGUAACUCAUUAAACCUUAAUUUCUUUUUUCACAAUUAACGCACACAUACAUUUUACAAUAUUUAAAUGACUUAUAAAAGGGUUCUACGUUUGUACACACUUCUGCUGUCCAGUGGAAAAUGUAUUAAAAUAAACCUACACGCAAGUAGUGUAUCCACAGUACCGGGUUUUUCAUAAUUUAGCGGAAACAAUGCCGCUGUUGCCAGGACUGAAAAGGAUUCCUGUCGUUACACCAUGAGUGAUUCAAAACAUUGGAUUCACAAAAUGCGCCCACCAACAAC